AAGAGACAUGAUUAACGUAACAUAGUAAUACAAUUGGUAUGAAAGAAGUAAGAUAAAUUUAUUACAACACAAAACCCCAAAAACUCCAUAAUUGUGAUAACUACACACUUAUAUAAACACAAAACAACUAAAUAAUUCCAAGUCAUUACAAUUAAGCCAGUAUCCAUGGCCAGAAGCAACAAUAAGGUGCAUUCAUUUUUGACAAGACUCAUAGGCUGUAGCAUUAACGCUUCCACAUCAAUAACGAACAUAAUCUUUAACUGCACCAACAUCAAACAGAAAAAUAAUUACAUAUAGUUAAUAGAACCAUAUGAAUGGAAUUCAGUGUAGCGUAUUGUAUUCUCAAGCAGAACCAAAAAUAUUUUGAAACUAAAUCAAUCAUGUCAUUUAAGAACUGUGAUGCCAAAUAAACUAACCCUAAAGAGAAGAGGGUUCAAAGAAAAAAAUAUAUAGGAGGAUUUCAUGAAUUUAAUCUAUUUAACUAUGAGAAUCAAACGGACUAAUAUUUAAUUAUCUCUAGAAAAGACAUAGAAGUAACCCUAAUUCAUUUUUCAAGUGAAAACAAGAUAAAUUCAAUUGAGUGAGAGUUUUAAGUAAGUCUGUUUAAGUUUUCAAUUAAAAAAAGUACAAAAUUUAUAGUUUUAACAAUAAACCAAGUUUCAACUUCUCGGAAGAAAAGAAGAAGAAGAAGAAAGUUAUCACCUUUAAUGGAAAAUGGAAUAAACCAAUUAGCCUUCACAAAAUUUUUUUUACCCUAGCUCACGGAAAACGACAAAGUUACCUUUGGUCAUCAAAGGUACCCUGUCCGUUGUUUCCUCCAUUAGCAUGGUGAUUGUCCUCAACAACCCGCCAAAUAGGCCGCCACCCCUCCGGCAGUGGUGGUGGCGGAUCCUGCAACGACGGUGGUGGAGCUUGCCUUGGAUGAGGCUAGACGUAUGAUGAGGAAUAAACCACAUGGUCAGUUGUCCUUCCCAUCCACCCGCCGCUGCAUUCGCUUCCGUUUCAUUCCCGCCUGAUUGUUGAGAGUUUUCCAUGGUGAUUUUGUAGAAGGGGAUGAUAUUUUCUAAAUUAACACAUACACACAGGAAGUUGAUGAAGAAUAUAAGAGAAAUGUAACCUAGUUUUUAUUACAAAGAAAAAGGGAGUGGGGUCCAGAAGAGGCCGACUUGAGUGUAUUAUUUUAUCGAAAAGAACCAUAUGAAAUGAGAUGAUGUCACA
rnacentral:lncRNA from 1 species